rnacentral:tRNA from 1 species
GCCGAGUCGGCCGAGUGGUUAAGGCGAUUGACUUGCAUUCCCGUGUUAGGGCGUAGGUUCGAAUCCUGCAUCUUCA